AAGACGGCCCUACGGGUUGUAAACUGCUUUUAUACGGGAAAUAAACCUACUUACGUGUAAGUAGCUGAAUGUACUGUAAAGAAAUAAGGAUCGGCUAACUCCGUGC
rnacentral:rRNA from 1 species